UAGGUGAACCUGCGGAGGGAUCAUUACCGAGCAAGGGCCUCCGGGCCCGACCUCCAACCCUUUUGUAACCCGACCAUGUUGCCUCGGGGGUGACCCGGCCCGUCCAGGGUGUCGGGGCCCCCGGUGGACCGUUUAACGCUGCAUCUUUGCGUCUGAGUACUUUGAUAAAUCAAAUCAAAACUUUCAACAACGGAUCUCUUGGUUCUGGCAUCGAUGAAGAACGCAGCGAAAUGCGAUAAGUAAUGUGAAUUGCAGAAUUCAGUGAAUCAUCGAAUCUUUGAACGCACAUUGCGCCCCUUGGUAUUCCAGGGGGCAUGCCUGUUCGAGCGUCAUUUCACCACUCAAGCCUCGCUUGGUAUUGGGCGCCGCGGUUAGCACCGCGCGCCUUCAUGUCCCCCGGCUGGGCAGUCUGUCUCUUAGCGUUGUGGUCUUUAUUGAUUCGCUAGCGAGCGCAGAGGGCUUGGGCCGUUAAACCAUCAUCAAGGUUGACCUCGGAUCAGGUAGGGAUAC
rnacentral:rRNA from 1 species